GGUGCCUCUGGGGGAGGGGGAGGGUCUCCAGGAAGCCAGGAGGGUGGGCACCUGGUGAGCCGUGGGCGCCGUCAGCGGAAGGCGGUCUCUUCUCGGGGUGCCGCACGAAGGAGGUUUGCCCGCGGCGAAGGUGACCCUGCCUUCUCCCCAGGAGCCGUUCAGAGAAAUUGAGUCUUUCGUUGGUACGUCGGUUGCAACAUUGUUGGAAAGUUACAGGGCGCUGUGGCGGACAUAGUUCAAGCCCAGGAGCCAGAAGAGGAUGCCAGCCAACUGCGUCACUUGCCACGUUUUUGUGACAAAGAUCCUGUGAAUUACCUUGAAAGAUAAGUGAGAGGAGGAGAGAAAAAAAGUCUGCAAACUGGAUUGGGACGCGUAAAUCCAGGAUAUAUGCGUUCCAAUUUCAGCGAGGGGCUGUGUGGCCCAUUGUGUGUGAGCGAGGAAGGAGGCGGGGUCAGCUGCUGGCUUCUGGAAAGAGGGCUUCACUCUCAAAAGAGGAAAUGCCCUUAAUUGGGCGUGCAGGUCUUUAGCUAGAAUAACAAGAGGAAACACCUCCCUGUAAUGUGAAGUUUGUGGCCUAAAUAAGAAAUUCUGGACUUCACUGGUGGCGCAGUGGUUGAGAUGCAGGGGACACGGGUUCGAGCCCCGGCCCGGGAAGAUCCCCCAUGCCACGGAGCAAC